UACGUAGGCAGCAAGCGUUGUUCGGAGUUACUGGGCGUAAAGAGCGUGUAGGCGGCCAUUCAGGUCAGCUGUGAAAACUCGAGGCUCAACCUCGAGACGUCGGUUGAAACCGUUUGGCUAGAGUCCGGAAGAGGAGAGUGGAAUUCCCGGUGUAGCGGUGAAAUGCGCAGAUAUCGGGAAGAACACCAGUGGCGAAGGCGGCUCACUGGCCCGUUACUGACGCUGAGGCACGAAAGCGUGGGGAGCAAACAGG
rnacentral:rRNA from 1 species